rnacentral:tRNA from 1 species
GAGGGUAUAGCUCAGUGGUAGAGUGCAUGCUUAGCAUACAUGAGGUCCUGGGUUCAAUCCUCAGUACCUCCA